rnacentral:tRNA from 1 species
ACCCAGUUGGCUCAGUCGGUAGAGCAGCAGGCUCUUAAUCUCAUGGUCGCGGGUUCGAGCCCGGCACCGAGCU